CAUAUAAACAGUCACCUUCUCCCUAUUCCCACAGCCGAAACCCUAGAUCUCGCCGCCGCCCUCCUUGGCUCGCGCUGCUCUGCUGCUGCUCCUUGGCUCGCUCUGGGAGAAGACGAAGUGGAGAAAAGAGAGCCGAGCAUGAAUCCAGAUCCAAUGGAAGUGCAAGAACCACCACCCCAUAGGAACGAGAAAACCAUCUUUGAGAGAUGCAGAGAAGCCAGAAACUUUCGUACUAAUGCUAGGAGGUGUGGCACUCUUAUUCAGCCCUACGAAUUUAGCUGUCCACAAACUGCAGAACUUGGAUUUAAAGAUGGUUAUAUCUAUUAUUCAAGCAAGGCAAUAAAGUUUGCUGCGGAUAUAGAACAAGGAUUUGACUAAGAGGAACUGCAGAAACGAGCUGCCACCUUCUGGGUUCUGAAUGAAGUGCCUUUUGGUCAGCUAAACCCAUUGGGGCUAAAUCCAUCCAUUGAUGUAGGGAUUGUUAAGACCUACGGCGUGGCCUAUAAUACCCUAAUUGGAAAAACAAUCAUUGCCUUUGCUCGCUCUCAACAAAGUGUGCUCUCCUGGAUAGCAAAUCCAGAUAACAGUAUGUUCGUUCGUGAUCAGUUAAGAAAUAGUAUUAGCGGCCUCUUCUUGAUGAUGAUCUCAGGCAUUUUCUGCAAGGACUUCUUACUGGAGUAUAUGGUGCUAGGUUUAAUGAGGAAUUUAUUGCUUUGGGCCUGAAGCUUAAUGAGGAAUUUAUUGCUGAGGACCCGGCGCUUAAUGAUGAAUUUAUUGCAGAGGGCUAGGGCUAGGGCUAGUCAGACUUAUUGUCUCCGCUUCAUCCAACUAUAUAUUCGUAUGAGCUUUGUCAGCUUUGGUUUUGAUUACUUGCAAGUAGUCAGAUAUGCACCAUGUCCUAUGGUCAGUGUAUGAAUUGUAAACCUUAAUUAUCUCAACCUUAUCCAACUAUUCAUGUGAGCUUUUUCAGCUUUGUUUUGAUUACUUGCAAGUAGUCAGAUAUGCACCACGUCCUAUGGUCAGUGUGUGAAUUGUAAACCUUAAUUAUCUCAGCCUUAUCCAACUAUUCAUGUGUGC